rnacentral:rRNA from 1 species
AAGACGAUGAUAUGUAGCUGGACUGAGAGGUUGAACGGCCACAUUGGGACUGAGACACGGCCCAAACUCCCACGGGAGGCAGCAGUAGGGAAUUUUCGGCAAUGGAGGAAACUCUGACCGAGCAACGUCGCGUGAACGAUGAAGUAUUUCGGUAUGUAAAGUUCUUUCAUUGAAGAAGAAAAAAUAGUGGAAAAACUAUCUUGACGCUAUUCAAUGAAUAAGCCCUGGCUAAUUAUGUGCCAGCAGCCGCGGUAAUACAUAAAGGGCGAGCGUUAUCCGGAAUUAUUGGGCGUAAAGGGUGCGUAGGCGGUUUGUUAAGUCUUUAGUUUAAUCUCAGUGCUUAACGCUGUUCUGCUAGAGAAACUGACUUACUAGAGUGAGAUAGAGGCAAGUGGAAUUCCAUGUGUCAGCGGUAAAAUGCGUAAAUAUAUGGAGGAACACCAGAGGCGUAGGCGGCUUGCUGGGUCUUUACUGACGCUGAGGC